rnacentral:rRNA from 1 species
UGGGGAAUAUUGGACAAUGGGCGCAAGCCUGAUCCAGCCAUGCCGCGUGAGUGAUGAAGGCCUUAGGGUUGUAAAGCUCUUUCGCCGACGAAGAUAAUGACGGUAGUCGGAGAAGAAGCCCCGGCUAACUUCGUGCCAGCAGCCGCGGUAAUACGAAGGGGGCUAGCGUUGUUCGGAAUCACUGGGCGUAAAGCGCACGUAGGCGGAUUGUUAAGUCAGGGGUGAAAGCCUGGAGCUCAACUCCAGAACUGCCCUUGAUACUGGCAAUCUCGAGUCCGGAAGAGGUAAGUGGAACUGCGAGUGUAGAGGUGAAAUUCGUAGAUAUUCGCAAGAACACCAGUGGCGAAGGCGGCUUACUGGUCCGGUACUGACGCUGAGGUGCGAAAAGCGUGGGGAGCAAAACAGGAUUAGAUACCCUGGUAGUCCACGCCGUAAAACGAUGGAGGCUAGCCGUUGGCGAGCAUGCUCGUCAGUGGCGCAGCUAACGCAUUAAAGCCU